rnacentral:rRNA from 1 species
CGCGCUGGACCGUGCAUAAGUCUCCUGGAAUGGAGCGUCAUAGAGGGUGAGAAUCCCGUCUUUGGCACGGAAAUCCCAGGGCUUCUGUGAUGCGCUCUCGAAGAGKCGAGUUGUUUGGGAAUGCAGCUCAAAAUGGGUGGUGAACUCCAUCUAARGCUAAAUAUUGGCGAGAGACCGAUAGCGAACAAGUACCGUGAGGGAAAGAUGAAAAGCACUUUGGAAAGAGAGUGAAACAGUACGUGAAAUUGUUGAAAGGGAAACGCUUARRGUCAGUCACGUCGACCGAGACUCASCCUUGCCUAGGCUUGGUGUACUUCUCGGCUGAUGGGUCAGCAUCAAUUUUGAUCCUCGGAUAAUGGCRAUGGAAAGGUAGCACCUUUACAGGUGUGUUAUAGUCCUAUGUCGCAUGCGGGGGUCGGGAUUGAGGAACUCAGCAUGCACCCCUUGGUGUCAGGGCCUCUGCGGCCCAUGUUACGUGCUUAGGAUGCUGGCAUAAUGGCUUUAAACGACCCGUCUUGAAACACGGACCAAGGAGUCUAACAUACCCGCGAGUGUUUGGGUGGAAAACCCAUGCGCGUAAUGAAAGUAAAAGUUGGGACCUCUGUCGUGGAGGGCACCGACGCCUGGACCAGACCUUCUGUGACGGCUCUACGGUAGAGCGUGUAUGUUGGGACCCGAAAGAUGGUGAACUAUGCCUGAAUAGGGUGAAGCC